rnacentral:rRNA from 1 species
GUGGGGAAUUUUGGACAAUGGGCGAAAGCCUGAUCCAGCCAUGCCGCGUGUGUGAAGAAGGUCUUCGGAUUGUAAAGCACUUUAAGUUGGGAGGAAGGGCAGUAAGUUAAUACCUUGCUGUUUUGACGUUACCAACAGAAUAAGCACCGGCUAACUUCGUGCCAGCAGCCGCGGUAAUACGAAGGGUGCAAGCGUUAAUCGGAAUUACUGGGCGUAAAGCGCGCGUAGGUGGUUCAGCAAGUUGAAGGUGAAAUCCCCGGGCUCAACCUGGGAACUGCCUCCAAAACUACUGAGCUAGAGUACGGUAGAGGGUAGUGGAAUUUCCUGUGUAGCGGUGAAAUGCGUAGAUAUAGGAAGGAACACCAGUGGCGAAGGCGACUACCUGGACUGAUACUGACACUGAGGUGCGAAAGCGUGGGGAGCAAACAGGAUUAGAUACCCCGGUAGUCC